GCAGAACUCACCCCCGUGACCUGGCAACAGCCUGGCCCAGGGCACCCUGUUGUCACAGCGCCUUUGGCAGCUGGAUCUCUGGCGAUACCAAGUACUUUAAUCACUACUGUAUGACUUCCAUUUUUUUUCCUUCUCUCAAGCAACUGGGGUUCAUGCUGCAGCCACUGUUUGUACCUGAUCAAUUCAGCUCAGACACUACCAGCCAUCUACAACUAUCUCACAUUUCUGUGCGUACCGAGUCUGCCAAUAUCUUACGACUUCUUUAAUUUCUUCACCAAGAAAAUGGCUGUAUCUGAGAACAUGCUACAAUAGAGCUACGUCCCAUGUGCGCAGGGAAAUCAAGAAGUUCACUUCAGCGCUUCCAGCCAGCACCUGAGCCAGCAGCACAGGAAACGCUCCCCGAGACAUGACACCUCUGCGGAGAACAGACCGCUGCCCGGCUUACCUGCAGCACCACAAGACUCAGGAACAACCUGGUUUGUGUCUACAACUUAGGAAACUUGUCAUAUGCUCAUAAACAAGGAGCCUUUGCUGCCGUGAAACAGAGAAGACAACAGAAAAACAUCACAAAGAAAAAGCAAAGCUCAUCACCUUGAAGUUCCUGCUGUGCACUGGGCAUUUAAGCUGAAAUGGCCUCUUUUCCCAAAAAGAAUUUGAAAUGCAAUUCGUACCUGAGCGUGUAUUAGACUUAAUCAAUAGGCAGCUAGGGAUCAAAUGUUCAAACCUGGCAGCACCCAGCAGUUCUCCUUAUGACCUGAAUGUCCAGUUUAUCAGGAAUUGAAGCAACUAGAACA